UUCCMAAUGGGCGAAACCUAACGCACCACGCCGCGUGAGGAUGACGGCUUCGGKUGWAACCUCUUUCAGCAGGGACGAAUGUAGACGGUACCUGUAGAAGAAGCACCGGCCAACUACGUGCCAGCAGCCGCGUUAAUACGUAGGGUGCGAGCGUUUCCGGAAUUAUUGGGCGUAAAGAGCUCGUAGGCGGUCUGUCGCGUCGAAUGUGAAAACCCGGGGCUCAACUCCGGGCUUGCAUUCGAUACGGGCAGGCUAGAGUUCGGUAGGGGAGUCUGGAAUUCCUGGUGUAGCGGUGAAAUGCGCAGAUAUCAGGAGGAACACCGGUGGCGAAGGCGGGACUCUGGGCCGAUACUGACGCUGAGGAGCGAAAGCGUGGGGAGCGAACAGGAUUAGAUACCCUGGUAGUCCACGCCGUAAACGUUGGGCGCUAGGUGUGGGGGUCCUUCCACGAUCUCCGUGCCGCAGCUAACGCAUUAAGCGCCCCGCCUGGGGAGUACGGCCGCAAGGCUAAAACUCAAAGGAAUUGACGGGGGCCCGCACAAGCGGCGGAGCAUGCGGAUUAAUUCGAUGCAACGCGAAGAACCUUACCAAGGCUUGACAUGCACGGGUAAGUUCCAGAGAUGGUUCCCCCGUAAGGUCCGUGCACAGGUGGUGUAUGGUUGUCGUCAGCUCGUGUCGUGAGAUGUUGGGUUAAGUCCCGCAACGAGCGCAACCCUUGUCCCAUGUUGCCAGCAAUUCGGUUGGGGACUCAUGAGAGACUGCCGGGGUCAACUCGGAGGAAGGUGGGGAUGACGUCAAAUCAUCAUGCCCCUUAUGUCUUGGGCUUCACGCAUGCUACAAUGGCCGGUACAAAGGGCUGCGAAACCGUGAGGUGGAGCGAAUCCCAAAAAGCCGGUAUCAGUUCGGAUUGGGGUCUGCAACUCGACCCCAUGAAGUCGGAGUCGCU
rnacentral:rRNA from 1 species